GAUGAACGCUGGCGGCGUGCCUAAUACAUGCAAGUCGAGCGAACGGACGAGAAGCUUGCUUCUCUGAUGUUAGCGGCGGACGGGUGAGUAACACGUGGAUAACCUACCUAUAAGACUGGGAUAACAUCGGGAAACCGGAGCUAAUACCGGAUAAUAUUUUGAACCGCAUGGUUCAAAAGUGAAAGACGGUCUUGCUGUCACUUAUAGAUGGAUCCGCGCUGCAUUAGCUAGUUGGUAAGGUAACGGCUUACCAAGGCAACGAUGCAUAGCCGACCUGAGAGGGUGAUCGGCCACACUGGAACUGAGACACGGUCCAGACUCCUACGGGAGGCAGCAGUAGGGAAUCUUCCGCAAUGGGCGAAAGCCUGACGGAGCAACGCCGCGUGAGUGAUGAAGGUCUUCGGAUCGUAAAACUCUGUUAUUAGGGAAGAACAUAUGUGUAGUAACUGUGCACAUCUUGACGGUACCUAAUCAGAAAGCCACGGCUAACUACGUG
rnacentral:rRNA from 1 species